AAAAGUCNGUAACAAGGUUUCCGUAGGUGAACCUGCGGAAGGAUCAUUA
rnacentral:rRNA from 1 species